rnacentral:sRNA from 1 species
GUUUUCUGCGACGAGGAACUGGAGACGCGAGACCC